rnacentral:lncRNA from 1 species
UCUCCUCCAUCUCUUCAAUCUUUGGAGGGGUGCCUGAGGGUCAUUAGUCUGUUUUUUAAUUGUAGUUCAGCCGAGUAGUUGCUGCUAUGUUUCCUUCUCUCUGUAUCUUUUUGAUUCGGCACCCUCACACUCUCCCUGCCCCCACAGUUAAAGUGUGAGUUACGGUGCCGAAUUCUUGUUCUUUUCUCCAAAGUUUAAUAUAUAUUCUUACCUUUU